UACCUGUGACGGGUACCUGCAUAUUCAUCUAGGAAGCCCAGCAAACCCUAAAAAGAAAAAAAGAAAAAGAGCAAUAUACAUCGAGUCCAUAAGUAGAGUUUGGUUGUUUGAAUGGAUCAGAAACGUUUUCUCCAAAGAGGCAAAGCUAUAGAAUAGCCGGUACGCUCUGCCUGUGUAUAUGCAUGCGACAUAAGUUGAGAGGCCUAAUAAAAUCGAGAAGGACGAAAAAAACAUGGCCGUAGGGCUGAUGGUCGCAUUCCAACCUUUCACUUGUAAACUCCUCGACAGAGGUUGAAGGCGCAUUUAACGGUUAUUGGUCUUUUUUUUUGUACCACGAGUCAUGAGAGAUCAAAUAAAAAGUAAAAAGAUGAGGAAUGACAGAAGCACCAAAAUUUCCAUCAAUUUUCGAUGCCGUCAAUGUGGCUGCCACGCCCCAUCCAUCGUCAGAAAAAGUGUUCGUGUCUGAAGAACGGAAGCAAAAAGAAACGACAAGACGACGACAUGGCGUCGACCGCGUGUUGAAGUUGGGUUGGCACUCGAGUUGUUCCACGUGAUGGAUGCAGAGGAUUUUGCGGUUGACCUUGAAAAACACUCACGAACGCUCUUUCAAGAUCCGGAUUCAUUUCCUCUUCUUCGUUAAAAAAAAUUCUUUUAUCAAUAUAUAAUAUAUAUAUAUGUGUGUAUUUUUCUUUAUGAUUUUGAAGAAGGUUACAUAAGGAAUGAUUUGGAGGUGGGCUGAUCUGGGGUGGUGAUUCGUGUGCGUCAUCAUUGGCAGACGGGUCAUGGCCAUUUUUGUUUUGUUAAAAUUUCCCAGAAAGGAUUGCUAAAUAGGAUGUCCGUUUCUUAUGUUCACAUGAUGGAGUGCAUUAAAUGUCAAUUGACUGCAGCCUGCGUAGAACGUACAUGUUAGCU